AACGAACGCUGGCGGCAGGCCUAACACAUGCAAGUCGAGCGCGCAGCAAUGCGAGCGGCAGACGGGUGAGUAACGCGUGGGAACCUUCCCAAUGGUACGGAAUAGCUCAGGGAAACUUGAGGUAAUACCGUAUACGCCCGAAAGGGGAAAGAUUUAUCGCCAUGGGAUGGGCCCGCGCAGGAUUAGCUAGUUGGUGAGGUAACGGCUCACCAAGGCGACGAUCCUUAGCUGUUCUGAGAGGAUGAUCAGCCACACUGGGACUGAGACACGGCCCAGACUCCUACGGGAGGCCGCAGUGGGGAAUAUUGGCCAAUGGGCGCAAGCCUGAUCCAGCCAUGCCGCGUGAGUGACGAAGGUCUUCGGAUUGUAAAGCUCUUUUGGCGGGGACGAUAAUGACGGUACCCGCAGAAUAAGCCCCGGCUAACUUCGUGCCAGCAGCCGCCGUAAAAC
rnacentral:rRNA from 1 species